rnacentral:rRNA from 1 species
GGGCCCGCACAAGCGGUGGAGCAUGUGGUUUAAUUCGAUGAUACGCGAGGAACCUUACCAGGGCUUAAAUGUAGUGGGACAGGUCUAGAGAUAGACCCUUCUUCGGACUCAUUACAAGGUGCUGCAUGGUUGUCGUCAGCUCGUGCCGUGAGGUGUCAGGUUAAGUCCUAUAACGAGCGCAACCCCUAUCGUUAGUUGCCAGCGGGUAAUGCCGGGAACUCUAGCGAAACUGCCGGUGCAAACCGAGAGGAAGGUGGGGAUGACGUCAAAUCAUCACGGCCCUUACGUCCUGGGCUACACACGUGCUACAAUGGCCGGUACAGAGAGCAGCCACUACGCGAGUAGGAGCGAAUCCUAGAAAGUUUCUCGUAGUCCGGAUUGGAGUCUGCAACUCGACUCCAUG